rnacentral:tRNA from 1 species
GUUCACAUAGCUUAAUGCUAAAGCAUGGCACUGAAGCUGCCAAGAUGGCACACGAUGAUGCCUGCGAAC